rnacentral:rRNA from 1 species
UACGUAGGGGGCAAGCGUUGUCCGGAAUUAUUGGGCGUAAAGAGCGCGUAGGCGGCCGUUCACGUCGGGUGUGAAAGCUCGGGGCUCAACCCUGAGAGGUCAUUCGAUACGGAUCGGCUAGAGGCAGGUAGGGGAAAGUGGAAUUCCUGGUGUAGCGGUGAAAUGCGCAGAUAUCAGGAGGAACACCAGUGGCGAAGGCGAGUCCCUGGACAAUUCCUGACGCUCAGGCACGAAAGCUAGGGGAGCAAACAGG